GGACGAACGCUGGCGGCGCGCCUAACACAUGCAAGUCGAACGAGCGAGAGAGAGCUUGCUUUCUCGAGCGAGUGGCGAACGGGUGAGUAACGCGUUAGGAACCUGCCUCAAAGAGGGGGACAACAGUUGGAAACGACUGCUAAUACCGCAUAAGUCCACGACCCGGCAUCGGGUAGAGGGAAAAGGAGCAAUCCGCUUUGAGAUGGCCUCGCGUCCGAUUAGCUAGUUGGGGAGGUAACGGCCCACCAAGGCGACGAUCGGCAGCCGGACUGAGAGGUUGAACGGACACAUUGGGACAGAGACACGGCCCAGAAUACUAGGGGAGGCAGCAGUGGGGAAUAUUGCACAAUGGGGGAGACCCUGAUGCAGCGACGCCGCGUGGAGGAAGAAGGUCUUCGGAUUGUAAACUCCCGUUGUAGAGGAAGAUAAUGACGGUACUCAACAAGGAAGUGACGGCUAACUACGUG
rnacentral:rRNA from 1 species